rnacentral:rRNA from 1 species
AUUGAACGCUGGCGGAAUGCUUUACACAUGCAAGUCGAACGGCAGCACGGACUUCGGUCUGGUGGCGAGUGGCGAACGGGUGAGUAACAUAUCGGAACGUAUCCAAUAAUGGGGGAUAGCGAGUCGAAAGAUUCGCUAAUACCGCAUACGCCCUACGGGGGAAAGCUGGGGACCUUCGGGCCUGGCGUUAAUAGAGCGGCCGAUAUCUGAUUAGCUAGUUGGUGAGGUAAAGGCUCACCAAGGCGACGAUCAGUAGCUGGUCUGAGAGGACGACCAGCCACACUGGAACUGAGACACGGUCCAGACCCCUACGGGAGGCAGCAGUGGGGAAUUUUGGACAAUGGGCGCAAGCCUGAUCCAGCCAUUCCGCGUGAGUGAAGAAGGCCUUCGGGUUGUAAAGCUCUUUCGCAAGGGAAGAAAACUUAGCCACUAACAUUGGUUGAGGUUGACGGUACCUUGAUAAGAAGCACCGGCUAACUACGUGCCAGCCGCCGCCGUAA